UUAAACAUUGCAAAUUUGUACGGUAGGGGUAUAAAUACAGAUCAUUUUCGUUGUUGAAUUCAGUUCAAAAAUUUGAAUCAGCAUGAAUCUCUUGAUUGUUUUUUUGGCCUUGCUGGCCCUUGCUUCUGCCAUGCGAAAUCAUAAAUACGUCACACCUUCUUGUUAUGGAUUAGGAAGAUCAACUUAUAAGAAAAGGUACGGCGGAAACGGGAUUCGGUACGAUUACAAACAGGCCUUACACCGCUACCGUUACCAAAAAAUGGUAAAUGGAACCGGAAGAGCAACUCCAAAGGAAAAGUACAGGAUUCGACACGAUUACAAAGAGGCCAUACACCACCAGCGUUACUAAAAAAUGCAAAAAAAUUAAGGACAAUCUGUCUUGAAGACUGCUUGGAAUAUACAAAUUUGUAGAUAAUUUUAAGGAGAACUUCGAUAAUAGAAUAAAUCCUUAAAUGCAUA